AUGGGAAUGGGCAGAGGCUUACCCUCCACUUCUCAGUCCAGUCCCCAAACAGACAGCAAUACCGCUGCCCGAAAUACAUCAUAUAAGAAUGUUUUUUCAGUUGUAAGGACAUCUCUCCUUCAGAUAAUACCUUUUAAAUUUAUUUUAAUGUGGUUCAAAUCAAUUUUGACAGGCGAUUUGAAUGUUGAUUCUCACUUGUUCUCAUCUUGUUACUUAAGUCACUCGACCUGUCAGCCAACCAGUUUACUCACAUCCCGUCAGACCUGCCGGAGACCCUGGAGUAUAUUUACCCUGCAAAGGAACAGCAUCUCCAGCGUUCCUGCAUCAGCAUUUGAAGGCACUCCAAACAUCAAGGGCAUCCACCUUCGGUUUAACCGGCUGGCUGUGGGUUCAAAUGGAUGAGAGAACUUUUGCAUAUCUGGCCAAUUUACAAGUCCUUGACAUCGGUUCAGGAAACACUGAUCUGCUCUUCAACAUAGACAAGAUAGAGGGUAAUACAAAGCUGGAAGAGGAGGAGGAUGACAAAGAUGAUUAAUGAGACUGCUCAGAGCCAGUAAUGGAUUUCUUUUUUCUCAUGGAAAGAAACCAGUGAAGAUUCUUUUUUCAGAUUUUUAUAUUGUGCAAAAUGUGACAGUUGUAGAUUUCUGGUGCAGGAUACCAGAUUAUACUUAGUCACCAUUGCUUGGGCUGGUUACUAUUGCAAAUCAUUAUGUUUGGGCUAAUGUUUAUUUAGACUGUUUACAUGCAACAUAUAUUUAACUCUUAAAAGCAAAAGUAAACUGAAAAAAAAGAGUGGCUUCUAUUUUAAGACUUGGUAGUUACAAUGACUAUCUUUACCUCUUAAUUGAAUUACAACAUACAAAUGGAACAAUGGGAGUUUUUAUAAUCCUCAUUUCUCUUAUAUAUAAAAUAUAUAAAAUUCACCCAUCCAGCUCUUAUGGGGCAGCAGGAUACAACCUGGACAAGUCAACACCUCAUCACAAUGGCCUAAAAUCUCAUUAAAUAUGUAAACAUUUUACCAGGUGAAAGUUAAUAAAUAUGAAAAACCAGCCUUCAUGUCAUACUUUGCAAAAUAUUCAUGAUUAUCUGAUUCAUUGGUUGUUCUUUGCUGUCUUCUGGUGCAGGCAUUGUUACUGUCAGGACACAUUUACUAUGUUGUCUGACAGUAACAUUUAUUAUUAAUUGAUGUUAAAUCAUUGUAGAGCCAAACUUAACUAAACCUUACAAGCUUGUAUCAGAAAAUGCUCGUUAUGAUAUUCAAACUUUAAAGACAAAAGAUCAAGCCUGUUUUCUGGCCAAUUGAUUCUAAUACUACCUGAAUUAUCGAAAACAAGAUGAUGUCUUAAGUGUAGGAUGUUUGAUCGCUGCAAAAGACAGCAGCCACCAAAGCAUAUCAUCUUAAUUUUAUUUUUUUUCUUUCUUUAUUAUCAUUUACCUCUUUUAGACUCAGCAGUAUAGUAUUGUCACUUAUUCUGUACAGUCAGUGAGGUCAGCAAUAAACUACAAAAAGGCUGAAGAAAAAAGUUUAUCUCAAAGAUAUAUCAUAUAUAUUACUCUUUAAUUUGGGUUCUAGACCCCAAAUAGCACUGUGCCUUCUCCUCCUGCUCUUCUCUCCACCUUUCUGUUCACCACCCUGAUCAGUACAUUUUGUCUGUCUGCAUUUACAUACAGUCCAAUCAGUGCAUUUUUGUUCUUCUGUAAAAAAGUACCCUGAAAUCUCCGCACUAGCUCGCGCUUACUGACUGUGACUGACAGCUCUGUGUCGGUCAGUUCACUGGUGUGCCGGCAUACUUUGGAAUAAACUCACGCUAUCACAGCAAACCUCUAAUCUGUAGUUGACUUGACUGAUUUCCAAAACAAAAUUCACUGAAGAUUUCCCUCUAUAUUUUCACUUUGUCAAUCACUAUUAUUCUUACCUCUCAGUGAUUAUAAUAUGAAAUCCUAGAAUUGUUUUUCUUCAGAUGUGUUUCGCAUUGAAUUAUCGGAAAACAUAUGCUGAAAAUUAUAAAAAUAAAUUACUGCUGUGAGCAUCAGUUUGACCGAUGAGUCAGGAGAUGAUAGAAUACAAAAUUUGCUUCUGAAGUUCCCAAAAGCUAUGAGUAGCAGACAUGGAUGGGGAAGGCUCUGCCGUGGGCCAUAUGGAUCAUGUAGACUCGUGCAAAAGGGCUGGGCUAUUUUGAAAGCAUGAAAGAGCUGAUUGGUGAAUACCUGUAGGGAAGUGGGUGAUUGAGACAUCGCAUCCCAAUAUUCAUGAUAAAAUGUUUUUCAUUUGAGGAAAAAAGUUUAGGGUGUUGUCUGACAAGAGAUGACUCCUUCCUGACAAGAUGACUCUGCCUUUUUCAUUUUAAAAAAUGAAGACGCAGACAGACUUGAACCUUACACUCAUCCCGUCAUUUUCAUGUCUGAUUCCCAGCAGCUGUGGAAAUUUUUUUUUGUAAAGUAUGUUUAAGAGCAAUGUGAACAAGUUUUGAAUUCUGUACCUGACAACAUCACAUGGAUUUAUACUUGUUAGGAGUUCCUGAGUGUUUCCCUCUCCCCCUCCCCAUCUGUGUCUUGUCUGUUUCCACUGUGAGUUUAUUUCCAGGCUGGACGGUGAGGCUUCCAGACUCUCCCCCGUCGGGCAAUCAACACACACCUGGAACUCAUCUCCAGCCAAUCACCCACACUUGCCAUCUGUUUUAUAAGCCUGGUCCACGUCUCAUUCUUCACGAAUUUGUUUUUAAUCAGUUUGUUGUUGGGUACCUGUUCAUGCUGCCUAUCCUGCUCCUUUUUGAUUGUGUUUCUCCUGCCGCCUGCACCUCUGGGUUUUUGUCCUAAGCCACUGACAGUAAACGAACCCUUGCUCCAACUCCAGCCAGUCGUGUGGGUCUGCUUUGGGGUUGGGAUUCAUGUCUCCAGAUUUGUAACAAUACUUCGUAUCAAGCCAUGUAUUGGCGGUGGCAGCUCAGCUUGUUGGGAACUGGGCUGAGAUGUGGAGGGUUCUUGGUUUGAACCCCAGUGAAGACAAAAUAAAGAAGGUGUUCAGGCAGUAGGGGAAGGUGUGAGAACACCUUCAGAGCAGUACUUCGGUAUCCCUGAGCAAGGUUCCAAACCCACAAAUACAGGAGUGGACCUACCUUCACCCAUCGUGUACUCUUCCUGUGAGCAUUUCAGAAGACGAGAUCAAGCCAUGUAUGAUGAACUGUUAAAGGUGAAUAAAAACAUUAAAUUCAUCGAAGGACUCCCUGGUUCUUUGAGGGUCAGACUCUGUUUCCGAUGAAACAAGCUCAUUUGAUUACCGUAUUUUCACGACCAUAAGGCGCACUGUAUUAAAAGGCGCAGUCUCAGUUAUGGGUGCUAGUUCUGUAUUUAAAACAUACAUAAGGUGCACCGUAUUAUUAGGUGCAUGCUGAAACAUACAGUAAAAAAUGACAACGGAAGUAAAACAGUGAGUUUCGACACAUUUAUUGAACAAAAUAUUCAUUCUUCCGCCACAAAACCAUCAAAGUUUUCAUCUUCUGCAUCUGAAUUAAACAGCUGCACUAUUUCAAUGUCCAACAUCCCGAAUUCCUCCUUUUAAUCAUCUGAAUCCGACUCACCGACCGGUUCCGGUUCAGCGUUGAUUUUGUGAAAGCCUCUUACAAUACAUGAAGACGGUAUCAUAGCCCAUGCGUCUACAAUCCACCCACAUAUGGUGGCAUAACUUACCCGCCGCUGCCUCAUAGUCUUUGUGAAGGAGUGUUCGCCUUCCAUCAUCCAGCGCUCUGUCCAUUUCCGUGGCAGCCGAGAACCACGGUGAACGACGACUUCUCGUUAGAGGUAAGAUCUUAAGCCCGAGCCUGAGUCCAAGCCCGACGGGUCGGGCCCAAAAUAUCAAUUAUUACGUUCGGGUCGGGUCGGGCCGGCUUCUCUCUCGCUAACAUUUUUUUAAAAUAAAUAUUUAUUUAUAUAUUAUGUAUACUAAAACGAUGUAUGGUUAUUAAACUAAGGAAUACUUGUUAUAAAAUAAAUAAUUUGGAUAAACAGAGAAGGCGCUGUAUGGUAAUUGCUAUUUAACUACUAAUCAGGAGCCGCAGAGCCAGAGCAUGCCGUGCGCACGUGAAUGCCGCGGUCCCGCCCUCUUUUUAAUUUUCCCCUCCGCAUCCAUCCAUCUGAGGGUUUAUUUAUUUCCCUUAUUUCACAGGAAUAACACGCACUUUAUACCGAGGUGACAGCUCUGGACCACCUACCUCAGCAGGUCUGACUUCUCAAACAGCAGCUGUCCAGAAACAUGUAUGAAUGGAUCCAUCCGUGUCCAUCCGAUCCAAACAGGUGAUGCCUGUUUGAGUGACUGCCAGCAGUUGAACGAGCAGUCCGGCGCAGGGAUUGUUGACUACUGCAAGGCUGGUCAGCUGGGGGCACUGUUGGUGAUGGAUCGCUGCUACUUACGGGUGCAGUCAGACUGCACGCACCCUGGGGUGCUGUUGCAAGCCGGGGCAGAGGACGCCUGAGGGGUCCCAAAUGGUGGCGGCACAGCAAUGGAUGGCACCGGAGCCUCGGAAACCAGAAGCCAGAGGUCGCUGUUGGAAGAGUCGUCCACAGAGGCCACCAGUGGAGACAAAGAUGGAGAAGUUGGUGAGGAGAGGGCCACAACUUCGGGCUGGACAACCGCCUUUAGCAUGUCUCUAUGGACAUUCCAAGUCCCACCCAGGUCACCCAUGGGCGCCACAGUAUAGACCACAACGUCGCCCGUAGGGGCCCGCACAACCUGGUGGACAACAGAGCUCCAGAGAUCGUGGAUCUUAUGGCGGCCUCUAACACCAUGGUCCCUCAGGUACACCAACUGUCCCACUGGCAGAGGUGCAUCUCGGACAAACAGAUCGUGUCUCUCCUUGCGCUUGCUCGCUGCCAUCACUAGUUUCUCGCGAGCACUCUCGAAUGCCACACAAAGCCUGGCUCGGUGUUCUACCACCCAGUCCUGCACCUCACCGGGAAUCGGGUCCGGCACACGACCCAGGAGAAAGUCAAUGGGAAGAAGGGGCUCCUGCCCAAACAUCAGGUAAAACGGUGACUCACCACUGCUCUGAUGAGGUGUAGUGUUGUAGCCAAAAAGCACUUGCG
ensembl:lncRNA